GGCGGGGCUCGCUGGGCGGGCGCGCUCACGGGCAGCCCCGGGGGGCCCUUCCCGCGCACGGAGCGCGCCCCGGCCCCGCCCCGCCCCGCCCCGCCCCGCCCCGCCCGCCGCUCCCGGCCGUGCCCGCCACGCGCUCCCCUGGGGGGCGGGGCCUGGCGCCGCUGUCCAAUCAGCGAUGCGAGCGGCGCGCGGGAGCGGCCAAUGGCGGGGCAGGGCGGCCGGCUUGAGCGGCGGCACCGGAAGGCGCGCGUCCCUUCCGGGUCGCGUGAGGGGCUGAGGGGCCGCGCUCCGGCUGGUUUUGGGUGGAAAUGGCGCUUUUUAAUGCGUUUGUGUUCAAAGCCAGCCGCUGGACUGGCGCUGAGCGCGGGACGUGCGCGGGAGCAAGGUCACUGGGAAGCGUGGGACAAGAACUGA
rnacentral:lncRNA from 1 species